rnacentral:rRNA from 1 species
CGAACGGGUGAGUAACGCGUGAGGAACCUGCCUCAAAGAGGGGGACAACAAGUUGGAAACGACUGCUAAUACCGCAUAAGCCCACGGGUCGGCAUCGAUCUGAGGGAAAAAGAGUGAUCCGCUUUGAGAUGGCCUCGCGUCCGAUUAGCUAGUUGGUGAGGUAACGGCCCACCAAGGCGACGAUCGGUAGCCGGACUGAGAGGUUGAACGGCCACAUUGGGACUGAGACACGGCCCAG